rnacentral:rRNA from 1 species
GUCAAUUGGGUAGGGGAGCGUUCCUGCAUGGGAGAAGCCUGACCGGAAGGACAGGUGGACAGGCAGGAAGAGAGAAUGCCGGUAUGAGUAGCGAAAAGAAGGGUGAGAAUCCCUUCCACCGAAAGCCUAAGGGUUCCUGGGCAACGAUCGUCGUCCCAGGGUAAGUCGGGACCUAAUCCGAGGCGGAGACGCGUAGGAGAUGGACAACAGGUUGAAAUUCCUGUACUGGCUGAGGCCGUUUGAGCGAAGGAGUGACACAGGAAGGAAGGCGCGCGUGCGAUUGGAAGAGCACGUCCAAGCAGGUAGGUUGGGAGACAGGCAAAUCCGUUUCCCAUGAGGCCGAGAUGCGAUGGGGAGCUUCUGGAGACAGAAGCGAAGGGGCUGGCACUAAACUGUCGAGAAAAGCUUCUAGUGAGGACUCAGGCACCCGUACCGAAACCGACACAGGUAGGCAGGAUGAGAAUUCUAAGGUGCGCGGGAAAACCCUCGUUAAGGAACUCGGCAAAAUAUAUCCGUAACUUCGGGAAAAGGAUAACCCAGCGUACGUGAAGUGCAGAAGCGCACGGAGCGGAGAUGGGUGGCAGAAGAGAGGCCCAAGCGACUGUUUACCACAAACACAGGCGUCUGCUAAAGCGAAAGCUGAUGUAUAGAUGCUGACACCUGCCCGGUGCUGGAAGGUUAAGAGGAAGUGUUAGCGCAAGCGAAGCAGUGAAUUGAAGCCCCAGUAAACGGCGGCCGUAACUAUAACGGUCCUAAGGUAGCGAAAUUCCUUGUCGGGUAAGUUCCGACCCGCACGAAAGGUGUAACGAUUUGGGCACUGUCUCAACGAGGGACCCGGUGAAAUUGAAAUACCUGUGAAGAUGCAGGUUACCCGCGACUGGACAGAAAGACCCCAUGGAGCUUUACUGUAACCUGAGAUUGGAUUCCGGUAAGAGAUGUACAGGAUAGUUGGGAGGCUUAGAUACAAGUACGCCAGUAUUUGUGGAGCCAUUGGUGGGAUACCAACCUUGUUUUAUUGGAAUUCUAACGAGAAGCGUAACGAGCUUGCGGACAGUCUCAGGCGGGCAGUUUGACUGGGGCGGUCGCCUCCGAAAGAGUAACGGAGGCGCCCAAAGGUUCCCUCAGCGCGGACGGAAACCGCGCGAAGAGUGCAAAGGCAGAAGGGAGCUUGACUGCGAGACGGACAGGUCGAGCAGGGACGAAAGUCGGGCUUAGUGAUCCGGUGGUAGAGAGUGGAAUUGCCAUCGCUCAACGGAUAAAAGCUACCCUGGGGAUAACAGGCUAAUCUCUCCCAAGAGUCCAUAUCGACGGGGAGGUUUGGCACCUCGAUGUCGGCUCAUCACAUCCUGGGGCUGAAGUAGGUCCCAAGGGUUGGGCUGUUCGCCCAUUAAAGUGGUACGCGAGCUGGGUU